rnacentral:rRNA from 1 species
ACUACGGGUGGCAGCAGUGGGGGAUAUUGCACAAUGGGGGGAACCCUGAUGCAGCGACGCCGCGUGGGUGAAGAAGCGCCUCGGCGCGUAAAGCCCUGUCAGCAGGGAAGAAAAUGACGGUACCUGAAGAAGAAGCCCCGGCUAACUACGUGCCAGCAGCCGCGGUAAUACGUAGGGGGCAAGCGUUAUCCGGAUUUACUGGGUGUAAAGGGGGCGCAGACGGCGAUGCAAGCCAGGAGUGAAAGCCCGGGGCCCAACCCCGGGACUGCUCUUGGAACUGCGUGGCUGGAGUGCAGGAGGGGCAGGCGGAAUUCCUGGUGUAGCGGUGAAAUGCGUAGAUAUCAGGAGGAACACCGGUGGCGAAGGCGGCCUGCUGGACUGCAACUGACGUUGAGGCCCGAAAGCGGGGGGAGCAAACAGGAUUAGAUACCCGAGUAGUC